rnacentral:rRNA from 1 species
GCUUAUGGCGGACGGGUGAGUAACGCGUGAGCAACCUGCCCUUCACUGGGGAAUAACACCGAGAAAUCGGUGCUAAUACCGCAUAAUGUCGGAGGACCGCAUGAUCCACCGACCAAAGGAUUUAUUCGCUGAAGGAUGGGCUCGCGUCCGAUUAGGCAGUUGGCGGGGUAACGGCCCACCAAACCGACGAUCGGUAGCCGAACUGAGAGGUUGAUCGGCCACAUUGGGACUGAGACACUGCCCUUAUUCCUACGGGAGGCAGCAGUGGGGAAUAUUGGGCAAUGGGCGAAAGCCUGACCCAGCAACGCCGCGUGAAGGAUGAAGGUCUUCGGAUUGUAAACUUCUUUGAUUGGGGAAGAUAAAUGACUACCAAGAGCACGCACGGCUAACUACGUGCAGCAGCCGCGGUAUACGUACGUGACAGCUCUAUCCUGAUUUACUGGGUGUAAAGGGCGUGUAGGCGGCUCUGCAGUCACACUGAAAUCCCGGGCUAACCUGGCGCUGCUUCUGAACUGUAAAGCUUGAUACUGAGGGAAGCGAUUCCUAUGUACGGUAAAUGCAAGAUAUAGAGGAACACGUGCAAGCGCUUUCUGAAGUACUGACGCUGAGGCCGAAGCUGGGAGCACGAUAAUACCUGUAGUCCACGCUAACGAUGAUACCAGUGUAGGGUAUCACUCCCCUGGGCGCAUAACAUUAGAUUCACCUGGGAAUCGGCCCAAGGUGAACCAAGAUGCGGGCCGCAACUGAUAUUGUUAUCGAGCACGGAACUCACGCCUGACUAUCGAGUCCAAAUGACCU